GUAACACAAAGGAUAAAUGCUUGAGGGGAUGGAUACCCCCAUUAUCCAUGAUGGGAGCAUUUCACAUUGCAUGCCUUUAUCAAAACAUCUCAUGUAUCCCAUGAUAUAUACACCUACUAUGUACCCACACAAAUUAAAUAUUAAUUUUUAAAAGGCAUGAGGGUUUGGGAAGUAUUCAAACCCUCCACAUGGUGGAUACAAAAGGAAGAGGAAAAACUAACAAAUCCCUAGCUUCCAAUGUGGAAAUAAUUGUUCUAUUACCUUCUGAGCUCUACUGAUGCUAUUGAGAAGUUUGACACCCUAAUAGUUACUCUUUUGUAUAUAACUUAUGAUAAUUCUCUGGACACUUUUAAGUUUUACUCCUUAUCUUUAGUCUUCUGUACUUUCUCUAGGGUUUUCAGCAAUCCAGUGAAGAUCUGAUGUAGUUCAUUCAGGAUGCUUUAAGAAUCAAUGUAUGGCACUACAGUUGCAUGCUGGGCUAGUUAAUACCCCUUGAUAUGAUUUGGCAAUUUGUCUCCACGCAAAUCUCAUUUCGAACUGUAAUCCCCAUGUGUUAGGAGGGACCUGGUAGGAGAUGAUUGGAUCAUGGGGGUGGUUUCUCCCAUGCUGUUCUAGUGAUAGUGAGGGAGUCUCAUGGUUUUAAGUGUGGCACUUCCUCGUUCUUUUGCUCUCUCUUCUGGUGCUUUGUGAAGGUGGUGCUUGCUUCUCCUUCAUCUUCUGCCAUAAUUGCACUUCUCCUUGCUGACACCAUGUGAAGGACACGUUUGCUUCCCUUUCUGCAAUGAUUGUGAGUUUCCUGAGGCUUCCCCAGCCAUGCUGAACUCUGAAGCAGCCCAUUCAACGCUGAUAGCCGUUCUUUCCUGCCCGAGGUUCUCUCAGUGCUUAGUUCAGCAACUGGCACAAUGACAACACACCAUCAAUCUUGGCUCAGCCACAGUAACCCAGCAGAGCUGAUCACAGACAGAACAUCAAUUUUGUCAUAGGAGACAUGCCUGGAAUCAGUGAUGUGUUUCACCAACUCAGAGCCUGGGACAAUCCUGACCGGUGUUGGAAGCUUCCCUGGAGUCCAGUACAAUUGGCCUCUGGGAGCCUGUGUCCAAGGGUGCUGCUGUGCCACUGGAACCUCCAGAGAGGAGGAAGGGCAGGCAUUUCCUGUCUGCUCUCCUCACUACCCCAACCACCACCACCACUGCCUCUGACUUUUCUGUAUAAACAAAUAUUUGCCUCAAUGAUCCUGUUUGCAGUUAAGUCCUUUGCUGGCUUCAAUUCUGCCCUCAAGCUGAGCCUACUUCCUCUCAGCCCCUACCACAGAACCUCUGCUGGUGAUAGCAAACAAUUACACCAGGGCCAUAACCAGCAAUUCUGGAGACAGACAUUCUCCAAUCAGUCUUCCUGUGCUCCCCACUUCACCCACCCAAGUCUGAGCCCAGCACACACACAAUGGGUCCCUCUCUCAACUAAUGAGAUUUCAUUUCCAUCCUUGUCUUUCAGGCUUACCCAUAAUAUUUGUGGGGUCCACGGCAAAAGGCCAAAUGAUGCCUCUCACAUUGUAGAUGUAAGCAUCUAAAAGUUACAACUCAAAUCAACUAACUGUUAAAUAACAUAUAUUUUAUCCCCCUACCUUGAUAAAUACACACUCUUGUAAUGACAUUUGCUUUUCCUUUUCAGCUACUUAACUGAAUUACAUUUUUGUAUUUUCUACAUUUAUCAUGAUUUCAACCUGUACUCAUUCCCAAUGAUAUAAAAUAUUAAAAUAUAAUUUAUCAUAAGUACACAAAUCUUGAAUAUAUCUUAUCAAACAUUUAAAUUAAACGUUAAAAAUUAAAAUUAUUUUUAUACUUUUGAGAUUGCAUUUCUACUGAAAUAUUCAAAAUUUUCUAUUAAAAUUAGAAAGCAAGACAAAUUAUACAGCAUGAUAUCAAAGUGUUAAGUGUUUAAAUAAUGCAGAAAUGAUAAAAUUUGUUUUCCAAAUUUAUUUGUCAAUAAAUAUUUUAAUAAAAUUUAAUGUAUGCAAAAUUCUAGGAUUCAUCUGGGAGGCCAAGGCGGGUGGAUCGUCUGAGGUCAGGAGUUCCAGACCAGCCUGGCCAACAUGGUGAAACCCCAUCUCUACUAAAAAUACAGAAAUUAGCCGGGCAUGGUGAUAGGCACCUGUAAUCCCAGCUACUUGGGAGGCUGAGGCAGGAGAAUCGCUUGAACCCAGGAGGCAGAGGUUGCAGUGAGCUGAGAUUGUGCCAUUGCACUUCAGCCUGGGCAACAAGAGUGAAACUCCAUCUCAAAAAAAAAAAAAAAAAAAAAAAAAAAAAUUCUAGGAUUCAAUUUCUAUCUGGAUAGUGAGGUAAAUUAUCAGCAUUAUACUUUAUACAUGCUAUGUCUAUUUCUACAUAUAUGCACAUUUGAGGGAAAUAUUAAUCUUUAAAAUCUUUCCAAGCAUUCCUUAGCUGCCACGUGCAACUGCUGCAACUACUACGAUAGUUUGUGAGUAUCUCUGGUACCACAAAUGGAAGCAUAAGUAGAAGCAAGAAAAUAAACAUUGGGUACUAUUGGCAAAUAAUAAAUAAUCAGUAAGAAUUUACUAUAUUCAGGUUGCCUGAGUGGAAGAAUUUGACAAGUUAAUUUGUCUUUUCUCUCACUACAUGCUUCAACAUUCAAAUGCUCCCAGGACCCUAAAGCAGUAUCUGUCUCUGUCUCACCUGUAGCACAAUCCAGAAACCAUGGCAUUCAAAUGAAGUCACAUUUUGUAACAAUUUGGAUUCAGAAACAUAAGGCAAGAGAUGUAAAAAUGCAUUCCCUGGGGCUUGAUCAGUUAAGUCAAAGUGUGUGUUUUGGGUUAUGGGUCCUGCUGAGUCAGAGCUGAGUAUCAGAUCUCAACUAACAGAGAUAUCACUGUCUGUGUGCUCUUAAUAAAUUCAGUGUGUGUUGGUGUGGUCCUCUGAAAUGUGGGACCCAGAGAAGAGACCCCUCUUGCCUAGGUCUCUCACCACUUAUCAAAGGGCCUGACUCAGAGCUAGAAUAAGUUCUCAACCACAGCUGGGGAAAGAUUGCAUAAUUUAAAAAUAUUUAACAUUGGAAAUUCUGCUUCCAACCAUGGCAAAAUAAUUGGAAUGACACCCCCACCAUAACCCGUAAACUUAACAGAAUAUACUAAAUAACUGUUUUUAGACAUUAAACAUCAGGCAGCACAGGACUGUGCUCUUGCAGGAAAAGGAAAUAAAUGAGGUGAGUUGCAGGAUUGCCCUGGCUUUCUGUCUGGAGUGUCACUUUCUGGAAAGUAGCAUGGGGAGGAGAUCCCAAGCAGAGUACAAUAGGAUCUCUGAGACAGACAUGGAAGUUCAAGUAGGCAAAGGUAGCUGUCAUCUAGGAGGCAGAGAAAACAUUCCAGAAAUUUGCUCAGGGUUCCUUUCAAGUCCUUUGCCAAUACUAAACCAUGAGUUUAUAGGGUGGAAUUCCUCUAGGUCAGGCAAAGAAUGACGGGAACUAUGAACAGAAGAAUUUCCAGAGCUCACACAGGCCUAGGUGAUGUUGAAGUUCUGAUCACCCAAAGUGAUCAGCCUACUCAGGGCAUCUGGUAGAACCUCAAAAGAGUCACAUCUUAAUAAUAAAAUGAACUAGCUCUGUACUCAAGUUUACUCCACACCUGCCCUAACAGAGAUUUUUUAAUAGGCUUUGGAAGGAUAAAGAUGAUUAGCAAGUAUUGCUAUCUACCAGAGCACAGUCUAACACCCUUUAUAGAAAGGAAACAAAAUCCAGUAUUCAAUAUCCCAAAACUCAAAAUGUCCAAGAUUCAAUAAAAAAUUAUUACUAGCCAUGAAAAGCACUAGCAAAAUAUGAUCUAUAACUUAGGAAGAAAUCAGUGAAUAGAAACAGAUCCAGAAAUGGCAGAAAUAAUGGAAUUAGCAGACAAAGAUAUUAAAGUAGCUAUUGUAAAUAUGUUCAAAUAUAUAAAGGAACAUAAAACUGAGAAGAGAAAUUAGAAAUAUUUUAAAAACCAACAGAAAUAAAGAAACUCUAGAAAUAAAAAAAUUCAAUGUGUGGGGAAAAAAUUCACCAGAUGAAAUUAACAGCAAAUUGGAUAGUGUAGAAGAAAAGAUCUGUGAACUUGAAGAUGAACCAAUCAAAACUGUUUAAACUGAAGCAGGCAGAGAAAAAAGACUGAAAAAAUGAACAGAGCUUCAAUAAUCUUUGGAAAAUAUCAAGUAAUCUAAUAUAGAUGUAAUUUGAUUCCCAGAAAGAUGGUGGGAUAUAAAAAUAGUUCAAGGCCAAGAGAAUAAAAAGACAAGCCACAGACUGCUCUUGCAAAAACACAUAUCUGUUUUUUUUCAGUCUGUUUUGUGUGUGUGUGUGUGCGUGUGUGUGGGUUUUUUUUUUUUUUUUUUUUUGGCAAAACUCAUAUCUGAUGGUAUUUGCAAACACAUAUUUGAUAAAGGACUUGUAUUGAAAAUGUAAAAGGAACUCAUAACAAUCAACAAGAAAGCAAACAACCCAAUUAAAAAGUGGGGAAGUAGCUGAACAGACACCUCAUCAAAGAAGAUGGACAGAAGGUAAGUAAUCAUGUGAAAAUAUGCUCAACAUCAUAUGUCAUUAAGGAAUUGCAAAUUCGAACAAUAAAGUAAUACCACUAUACACCUAGUAGAUCGGCAAAAAUCCAGAAAACUGACAAUACCAUAUGCUGACAAGAAUUUAGAGUGCCUGGAGCCCAGACAUUUUUAUUCAUUGUUGGUGGGAAUACAAAAUGGGACAGUCAGUUUGGAAGACAACCUGGCAGUUUCUUAAAAAUCUAAACAUACUCUCACUGUAUGAUCCAGCAAUCAUGCUCCUUGAUGUUUUCCCAAAUGAAAUGAGAAUUGAUGUCUACAUGAAAAUCUGCACACAAAUGUUUAUAGCAGCUUUAUUCAUAACUGCCCCGAAUUGGAAGCAACCAAGAUGUCUUUCCAAAGGUGAAUGGAUUAAAAAAACAGCUGUGUUACAGUCUUACAAGGGAAUAUUAUUCAGCAAUAAAAAGAAAUCCACUCUCAGCCAUAAAAAAAUAUGGAGGAAACUUACAUGUAUAUUUCUCUGUGACAGAAGCAGUUAGAAAAGGCUGUAUACUGUAUGAUUCAACUCUGACAUUUUGGAAGAGGCAAAAACGAUAGAAACAGCAAAAAUAUCAGCAAUCACCAGGCGCUGGAGAAGGGAGGUAAAUAGGUGGAGCUCAAGGGAUUGUUAGGGCAGUGAAACUAUUCUGUCUGACGCUAUAAUGGUGGACGCAUGUCAAAACUCAAACAAUGUACAACACAGGAGUGAACCUAAUGUAAACCAUAGACAUUAGUUAAUAAUACUGGAUCCAUAUUGGUCUACAAAUUAUAAAAAUGUGCCAUAUCAUUGCAAGAUGUUAAUAAUAGGGGAAACUGAGUGAGGAAUGAGAGAGGUAUGUGGGAACCAUCUGUACUAUCUGUUCAAUUUUCUGUAAACCUCGAACUGCUCUAAAAAACAAGGUCUGGUAAUUAAAAUUUUUUUAAAAAACUGAGACUCAGUGAGGUUGUUCAGUACCACUGUUUGGUGUCAUGAUCCAAGCUACAAUCCUGGUGCCUUCAUUCCAAUUUAAGGGCAAAUUCACUCGUCAAUGGGGCAUGGGGAGCAGGAACCAGAGCUGUGUCCCAAGUUACAGAUGAAAGCUAUACCAGUCAGCUUUUAUUCUCAUAUAUGACCAUAUGCGCCAGUUUGCCUGCAGUAGGUCUUGAUCUAUCCCUGUGGCAGCAUGAAUAUUAAUUGUGUCCCUUUUCAGUCUCAAACAUGAUCAGUUUAGGACAAUUAAUUAUAUGACAUCCUACUGAAGCAGACAUUUUUGGGGAGCAUAUUCUACACACCAAAUACUGUGCUAAGACAAUUAUAUUCAUUAUCUUAAACAAUACUUUAUCAAGCAGACACAGUCACUAUCUCUACCUCAUAGAUGAAGACACUGAGGUACUAAAAAAAUUUGAAGAUGUAAUGGCAAAAAAUUUCGAAACGAUGAAAAUCAUAAAUCCACAGAUCCAAGAAGUUUGAUGAAUCCCAAACUGUAUAAAUACACACACACACACACACACACACACACACACACACACACUGCUGAAAACCAUUGAGGGAGAUCUUAAAAGCCAGAGAAAAAAGACACAUUACAAACAGAGAAACAAAUAUGAGAAUUAUCACAGAAAUAACCAGAAAUUGUGCAAGUGAGAUGACAAUGGAACAUCUUUAAAUUCCUGAAAGAAAAAACUGUAACAAAGAAUUUUAUAUCUAGUGAAUGUUUCCUUCAACUAAACAGCACAUCCUGCUUCCAUUUUUAUGAAAUUCUAGAAAAGGCGCUUCUAAUAUGAUGUGACAGAAAGUAGUUCAAUGGUUGCCUCACACCAGGAAUGGUGGGCGGAGAAUAGGACACUGAAGAAUUUGGGGG
ensembl:lncRNA